GUGCCAGCAGCCGCGGUAAUACGUAGGUGGCAAGCGUUGUCCGGAAUUAUUGGGCGUAAAGCGCGCGCAGGCGGUCCUUUAAGUCUGAUGUGAAAUCUCGCGGCUCAACCGCGAGCGGUCAUUGGAAACUGGGGGACUUGAGUGCAGAAGAGGAAAGCGGAAUUCCACGUGUAGCGGUGAAAUGCGUAGAGAUGUGGAGGAACACCAGUGGCGAAGGCGGCUUUCUGGUCUGUAACUGACGCUGAGGCGCGAAAGCGUGGGGAGCAAACAGGAUUAGAUACCCCUGGUAGUCC
rnacentral:rRNA from 1 species